AGCCAUGCAUGUCUAAGUAUAAGUAUUAUACAGCGAAACUGCGAAUGGCUCAUUAAAACAGUUAUGGUUUAUUUGAUAAUCGAAUUUUACAUGGAUAACCGUGGUAAUUCUAGAGCUAAUACAUGCUGGUGUGCCUGACUUUUCGGAAGGGCGGUAUUUAUUAGAUAACGAACCAAUAUUCCUCUGGUCUAUUGUGGUGAAUCGUGAUAACUGAUCGAAUCGCAAAGCCUUUGGCUGCGAUAUGUCAUUCAAGUUUCUGCCCCAUCAGCUUUCGAUGGUAGUGUAUUGGACUACCAUGGCUUUUACGGGUAACGGAGAAUUAGGGUUCGAUUCCGGAGAGGGAGCCUGAGAAACGGCUACCACAUCUAAGGAAGGCAGCAGGCGCGUAAAUUACCCAAUCCUGACUCAGGGAGGUAGUGACAAGAAAUAACGGACCGGCCUUUUAGGCUCGGGAUUGCAAUGAGCCGAAUUUACACCCCUUAGCGAGGACCCAUUGGAGGGCAAGUCUGGUGCCAGCAGCCGCGGUAAUUCCAGCUCCAAUAGCGUAUAUUAAAGUUGUUGCAGUUAAAAAGCUCGUAGUUGGAUUUCUGGGGAGGUGCCAAUGUCACCUUAGUGUUGCGCAGCGGCGCCUCUCCAUCCUUCUGUUAACGUCGUUGGACCUUAAUCAGUCUGCGGCGGGCUCAGAUAUUUUACCUUGAGAAAAUUAGAGUGUUUCAGGCAGGCCAGGCCGGAAUACAUUAGCAUGGAAUAAUGGAAUAGGACUUUAGUCUCUUUGUUGGUUUGGGGGACUGCAGUAAUGAUUAAUAGGGAUAGUUGGGGGCAUUAAUACUUAACUGUCAGAGGUGGAAUUCUCAGAUUUGUUAAAGAUUAACUUAUGCGAAAGCAUUUGCCAAGGAUGUUUUCAUUAAUCAAGAACGAAAGUUAGGGGAUCAAAGACGAUCAGAUACCGUCCUAGUCUUAACCAUAAACUAUGCCGACUCG
rnacentral:rRNA from 1 species